GACGGAGCAACGCCGCGUGAGUGAUGAAGGUUUUCGGAUCGUAAAGCUCUGUUGUUAGGGAAGAACAAGUACCGUUCGAAUAGGGCGGUACCUUGACGGUACCUAACCAGAAAGCCACGGCUAACUACGUGCCAGCAGCCGCGGUAAUACGUAGGUGGCAAGCGUUGUCCGGAAUUAUUGGGCGUAAAGGGCUCGCAGGCGGUUUCUUAAGUCUGAUGUGAAAGCCCCCGGCUCAACCGGGGAGGGUCAUUGGAAACUGGGGAACUUGAGUGCAGAAGAGGAGAGUGGAAUUCCACGUGUAGCGGUGAAAUGCGUAGAGAUGUGGAGGAACACCAGUGGCGAAGGCGACUCUCUGGUCUGUAACUGACGCUGAGGAGCGAAAGCGUGGGGAGCGAACAGGAUUAG
rnacentral:rRNA from 1 species